GAUGAACGCUGGCGGCGUGCCUAAUACAUGCAAGUCGAACGCUUCACUUCGGUGAAGAGUGGCGAACGGGUGAGUAAUACAUAAGUAACCUGGCAUCUACAGGGGGAUAACUGAUGGAAACGUCAGCUAAGACCGCAUAGGUGUAGAGAUCGCAUGAACUCUAUAUGAAAAGUGCUACGGGACUGGUAGAUGAUGGACUUAUGGCGCAUUAGCUUGUUGGUAGGGUAACGGCCUACCAAGGCGACGAUGCGUAGCCGACCUGAGAGGGUGACCGGCCACACUGGGACUGAGACACGGCCCAGACUCCUACGGGAGGCAGCAGUAGGGAAUUUUCGGCAAUGGGGGAAACCCUGACCGAGCAACGCCGCGUGAAGGAAGAAGUAAUUCGUUAUGUAAACUUCUGUCAUAGAGGAAGAACGGUGGAUAUAGGGAAUGAUAUCCAAGUGACGGUACUCUAUAAGAAAGCCACGGCUAACUACGUGCCAGCAGCCGCGGUAAUACGUAGGUGGCGAGCGUUAUCCGGAAAUAUUGGGCGUAAAGAGGGAGCAGGCGGCACUAAGGGUCUGUGGUGAAAGAUCGAAGCUUAACUUCGGUAAGCCAUGGAAACCGUAGAGCUAGAGUGUGUGAGAGGAUCGUGGAAUUCCAUGUGUAGCGGUGAAAUGCGUAGAUAUAUGGAGGAACACCAGUGGCGAAGGCGACGAUCUGGCGCAUAACUGACGCUCAGUCCCGAAAGCGUGGGGAGCAAAUAGGAUUAGAUACCCUAGUAGUCCACGCCGUAAACGAUGAGUACUAAGUGUUGGGUGUCAAAGCUCAGUGCUGCAGUUAACGCAAUAAGUACUCCGCCUGAGUAGUACGUUCGCAAGAAUGAAACUCAAAGGAAUUGACGGGGGCCCGCACAAACGGUGGAGCAUGUGGUUUAAUUCGAAGCAACGCGAAGAACCUUACCAGGUCUUGACAUCGAUCUAAAGGCUCCAGAGAUGGAGAGAUAGCUAUAGAGAAGACAGGUGGUGCAUGGUUGUCGUCAGCUCGUGUCGUGAGAUGUUGGGUUAAGUCCCGCAACGAGCGCAACCCCUGUUGCCAGUUGCCAGCAUUAAGUUGGGGACUCUGGCGAGACUGCCGGUGACAAGCCGGAGGAAGGCGGGGAUGACGUCAAAUCAUCAUGCCCCUUAUGACCUGGGCUACACACGUGCUACAAUGGACAGAGCAGAGGGAAGCGAAGCCGCGAGGUGGAGCGAAACCCAUAAAACUGUUCUCAGUUCGGACUGCAGUCUGCAACUCGACUGCACGAAGAUGGAAUCGCUAGUAAUCGCGAAUCAGCAUGUCGCGGUGAAUACGUUCUCGGGCCU
rnacentral:rRNA from 1 species